AUGACGAUCGCUACCACCCCGGGCGAAGUGCCUUACCACGACUGGCAACAACACCCCGAACACAAGGCCAACCUCAAAUUCAGCAUCACGUUUGGUCUCUGGAAAGGCAAAGCAUGCGUGAUGUCAAAAUGUACAGACCUCUCCUACUCACAGACUGCGGGAAUUAUUUUCUACGAUAAAGUGGCCCACGAGUUCCCAUGGACUCGCUACAAGGUGGUGGGGACCUUUUCCCUGAUCCUGGGAAUUCUGUCCAUGUUCUUUACCUUGGCUCACGUCAGAACCAACAACUGUCCGUCUGGAGUCGUUACCUUGAUAACGUGGACCUCAACAGGCGGACUAUUCUUCUACAUGGUUGGGAAGUUCGCAAAAGUGACGGAGAAUAUGAACUCGGAGUUUACGGUCUUCCAUUACAAGUACGCAGACGCCAACAUCGACACGGACACUCCUUACUCGGUGGUGCUGAUUGGCCUGGGAUGUCUCGCCGCCUUCACCACCGCAUUCAUGGUGCUCGUCAACGUCAUAUGCUGCGGACAGGGUAAAAGUCGCCGCGUCCUGCGGUUCGGUCGCACCGCCGCCACCAUGUCAGCGUUGUCUGGUACUGCGGCGCCCACUACCACCACGUCAGCGACGUCCAUCUUGCGGUUUUGAAUUUGUCAGUGUCAGUGUCAAUGUUCAAACUAGGUCACAUCUUGUACAGAGAGUGCGACGUUAUUUCCAUUGUUUGAAAUCUUCGACAUCCAUUUAUUUUUUGGACAUAUUCCGGAACCCGGCUUUACUUUCUUACGGCGCUGACUGAUAUCAGAUAUAUCCUAAACAUUUGUUAGUGUAAAAGCUUGUACAUACUAAUUUAUUAAUGUUCCGUAUUUAUUUAUUGAUGCUUUUCGACAUUUUCUACAGAUUGACAUGUAUCAUGACAUUAUUGAUCUAUGAAUGACGACAUAUUGACGUUAUUCAUUGUAUAUAUAUAGUUGGCGUUUUCCAUGGCAGUGACAUGAACAGUUCGGCAUUAAAUUUAAUAGUUCGGUU
rnacentral:misc_RNA from 1 species